rnacentral:rRNA from 1 species
GUAAGGAAUAUUGCGCAAUGGAGGCAACUCUGACGCAGCCAUGCCGCGUGCAGGAAGAAGGCGCUACGCGUUGUAAACUGCUUUUAACCGGGAAGAAACCCCAGGACGUGUCCUGGGUUGACGGUACCGGAGGAAUAAGCACCGGCUAACUUCGUGCCAGCAGCCGCGGUAAUACGAAGGGUGCAAGCGUUAUCCGGAUUCAUUGGGUUUAAAGGGUGCGUAGGCGGAGCGUUAAGUCAGUGGUUGAAUCCUGCAGCUUAACUGUAGACUUGCCAUUGAUACUGGCGCUCUUGAGUGUGCUUGAAGUGGGCGGAAUGUGCCGUGUAGCGGUGAAAUGCUUAGAUAUGGCACAGAACACCAAUUGCGAAGGCAGCUCACUAAGGCGAUACUGACGCUGAGGCACGAAAGCGUGGGGAUCGAACAGGAUUAGAUACCCCGGUAGUCC